rnacentral:rRNA from 1 species
AUUGAACGCUGGCGGCAGGCCUAACACAUGCAAGUCGAACGCGUGGCGGACGGGUGUGUAAUGUCUGGGAAACUCCCAGAGGGAGGGGGAUCACUACGGGAAACGGUAUCUAAUACCGCAUACUAUCAUAUGUCCCCAGAUGGGUUUAGCUAGGAGGUGGGGUAACGGCUCACCAAGGCGACGAUCCCUAGCUGGUCUGAGAGGAUGACCAGCCACACUGGAACUGAGACACGGUCCAGACUCCUACGGGAGGCAGCAGUGGGGAAUAUUGCACAAUGGGCGCAAGCCUGAUGCAGCCAUGCCGCGUGUGUGAAGAAGGCCUUCGGGUUGUAAAGCACUUUCAGCGGGGAGGCGUUACCCGCAGAAGAAGCACCGGCUAACUCCGUGCCAGCAGCCGCGGUAAUUC